UACGGGGGGGGCAAGCGUUGUCCGGAAUUAUUGGGCGUAAAGAGCUCGUAGGCGGUUUGUCGCGUCUGCUGUGAAAACCUAAGGCUCAACCUUGGGCUUGCAGUGGGUACGGGCAGACUAGAGUGCGGUAGGGGUGACUGGAAUUCCUGGUGUAGCGGUGGAAUGCGCAGAUAUCAGGAGGAACACCGAUGGCGAAGGCAGGUCACUGGGCCGCAACUGACGCUGAGGAGCGAAAGCAUGGGGAGCGAACAGG
rnacentral:rRNA from 1 species